GUAACGGCGAGUGAAGCGGGAACAGUCCAAAUUUUAAAUCUGGGACCCUCGGUCUCCGAAUUGUAGUUUACAGACGCGGAUCGUGAACAGUGCAUCGCCGUGCAAGUCCCCUGGAACGGGGCAUCGCGGAGGGUGAGAAUCCCGUGGCCCGGGGGUGCGCUGGUCGCUGGAGCUGCGUCGACGAGUCGAGUUGUUUGGGAAUGCAGCUCAAGACGGGUGGUAAAUUCCAUCCAAGACUAAAUAUUGGCAAGAGACCGAUAGCGAACAAGUACUGUGAAGGAAAGAUGAAAAGCACCUCGAAAAGGGAGUUAAAUAGUGCGUGAAAUUGUUAAAAGGGAAACGCUUGAAACCAGUCAUGUAGUUGGAAAAUCAGUGUUCAAUUGGGGGGAAUGGGAGAGGUGUGGACCGCAAGGCUGCUCUUUUCUAUAUCUCUUUUGUUGGGCAUGCACUUUUUCUUCCGCAGGUCAACAUCAGUUUCUUCUGCUGGACAAAACUCUUGAGAAGGUAGCAGCUUAGGCUGUGUUAUAGCUCUGGAGCGAUACAGUGGAGGAGACUGAGGUUUUCGCAGCAUGUGCUCUCGGGCAAGGCUGAUUGGGUGCUAUGAGAUCGUUCAGGGUACAAUACAUGUAUUUUGCUCUGUGUCUUUUUUAUACUCGCCCAAUUGGGCUCUUCCAUGCUUAG
rnacentral:rRNA from 1 species